UACGGAGGGAGCUAGCGUUGUUCGGAAAUACUGGGCGUAAAGCGCACGUAGGCGGCGCAGCAAGUCAGGGGUGAAAUCCCGGGGCUCAACCCCGGAACUGCCUCUGAAACUGCAGUGCUAGAAUCUUGGAGAGGCGAGUGGAAUUCCCAGUGUAGCGGUGAAAUGCGUAGAUAUUAGGAGGAACACCGGUGGCGAAGGCGGCUCUCUGGACCGGUACUGACGCUGAGACGCGAAAGCUAGGGGAGCAAACAGG
rnacentral:rRNA from 1 species